CAGUAACUGCGAGUGAAGAGGGAAGAGCUCAUCAUUGGAAUCUGGCAGCGUUACGCUGUCCGAGUUGUAGAUGAGGAGUAGUCCAUCUGGACUGCAUGGCGUCCAAGUACAAUAGGCCGUCAGUGGGACAUCAUAGAGGGUGACAAUCCCGUCCUUGAUGCCAAUGUGCAAGUCCGCUACGAUGGCUAUCUCAGAGAGUCGAGCAGUUUGGGAUUUGCUGCUUAAACAUGGGAGGUAGAUUCCUUCUAAAGCUAAAUACAGGCGAGAGACCGAUAGAGAACAAGUACCGCAAGGGAAAGAUGAAAUAGAACUCUGUGAAGGGAGUCAAAAGGCGUGAAAUUGUUGCGAGAGAAGCGAUUCAAGUCAGCGUAGCUAGGCCCAUCAAGCCUCUUUGUGCUUUGGACUAGCUUUGCCAGCGGUCUUGUCCCUUAGAGACUUGACUUUUUUUAUGAUGUCCAGCCUGGUAUGCACAGGUAGCCCCCUCUGGGGGCCAGUGACAUGGCUGGUGGAAUGGCUUGCAAUCGACCCGUCUUGAAACACGGACCAAGGAGUCUAACAUGUAUGCGAGUAUAAGGGUGGCAAACCCGUAUGCGCAAUGAAAGUAACUUUCGAUGAUUGAGAAUGGCCUGAUGACCAGACAAGCAAUACUAUGUCCCUCGUACGGCCAUUGCCCAAGUUCCGUGGUAGAUCCCAUGAACAUGGAGUUGGAGCAUACAUGCUAGGACCCGAAAGAUGGUGAACUAUGCCUGGACAAAGCGAAGCCAAAGGAAACUCUG
rnacentral:rRNA from 1 species